rnacentral:tRNA from 1 species
GAGGGUAUAGCUGAAGUGGUAGAGCCCAUGCUUAUCAUGCAUGAGGUCCUGGGUUCAUUCCCUAGUAUUUCA